rnacentral:lncRNA from 1 species
UCUUUAUCAGAUAACUGUCGGAUUUUAUUUCUCACUCUACGGUUGUCAGAAAAAUAUGAAACUUUAAAUCUAGCCUCAUAAAAAUAUUUCUGACCUAUCCUCCAAUUUUCGUAAUUUUCUGAGACUGUGUAUUUUAUGCUAAUUUAUCUGUCCCGUUUCCAACAGAAAAUUCUAGAUCUUCUGUUUUCAUUCCGAUUUCAGCACAAGUCACUUCUGACUUAUGUUUUACUCCUCUACAUCCAAUAAAAAUAGUAUCUCACCCUAUUUUUAUUUAUUUUUAUUUUUAUACCAAAAUCUGGUACGUUACAAUAGUGGCUGAUCGCGCAAAGGCAAUAACCAACGUAGGGGCAAAUCAUAAAUAGGCAUACAGUACCCUAAAAAAAGG